UAGGGAAUCUUCGGCAAUGGACGCAAGUCUGACGGAGCAACGCCGCGUGAGUGAAGAAGGAUUUCGGUUCGUAAAACUCUGUUGUUAGAGAAGAACAGCGCAUAGAGUAACUGUUAUGCGUGUGACGGUAUCUAACCAGAAAGCCACGGCUAACUACGUGCCAGCAGCCGCGGUAAUACGUAGGUGGCAAGCGUUGUCCGGAUUUAUUGGGCGUAAAGCGAGCGCAGGCGGUCAAUUAAGUCUGAUGUGAAAGCCCCCGGCUCAACCGGGGAGGGUCAUUGGAAACUGGUUGACUUGAGUGCAGAAGAGGAGAGUGGAAUUCCAUGUGUAGCGGUGAAAUGCGUAGAUAUAUGGAGGAACACCGGUGGCGAAAGCGACUCUCUGGUCUGUAACUGACGCUGAGGUUCGAAAGCGUGGGUAGCAAACAGG
rnacentral:rRNA from 1 species